CCUACGGGUGGCUGCAGUGGGGAAUAUUGGACAAUGGGCGAAAGCCUGAUCCAGCCAUGCCGCGUGUGUGAAGAAGGCCUUCGGGUUGUAAAGCACUUUCAGUGGGGAAGAAAGCCUUGGGGCUAAUACCCUCGAGGAAGGACAUCACCCACAGAAGAAGCACCGACUAACUCCGUGCCAGCAGCCGCGGUAAUACGGAGGGUGCGAGCGUUAAUCGGAAUUACUGGGCGUAAAGCGCGCGUAGGCGGUCUGAUAAGCCGGUUGUGAAAGCCCCGGGCUCAACCUGGGAACGGCAUCCGGAACUGUCAGGCUAGAGUGCAGGAGAGGAAGGUAGAAUUCCCGGUGUAGCGGUGAAAUGCGUAGAGAUCGGGAGGAAUACCAGUGGCGAAGGCGGCCUUCUGGACUGACACUGACGCUGAGGUGCGAAAGCGUGGGUAGCAAACAGGAUUAGAUACCCCAGUAGUC
rnacentral:rRNA from 1 species